GGGAGCCGCUAGCAUUCAAAGCUCAGAGCUGCUAAUAAAGAAUCUGCGCUGCACUUUGCCUAUUCAUGAUUUCUAUCUGAAUUGAGCAAAAGGACCCUCAGCUGAUCAGUUACAUGUGGGUGCCAGCAACUUCCUGAUGUGGGCUCAUGGGUGAGCUAUGUGGAAGCCUUCUGUACUAAACUGUGAAAUAAGUGUCACAGGACUAACAGAAGACAAGAUGAGAAAAGGAAUGUACAGCAUCUGCUAAGAUGUUAUUGAUAAACAUUAUUGUCUUUUCCUAUCUGUGUUAGGCGCUUUAUUUCCCAGGGUUUAAGGGUCCCACAUUGGAAGUCAUCUGACUACAGGAACACAUAGAUUUCUAAAGGGAUUCUAAGUUAAAGGAGUGAAGAAGUUCAGAAAAAGUCUACUGGAAACCAACACCUGUAGAAGCUCAGGGAGAGACUUGUUGGAAUGGUGCAUGAAUCUGGGUUAGUGUGAGCAUCCACAAAACUGCAAACCCUAAUGAUGUUUCUCUUGCUGAACGGCUGAACGGAGCAGAGAUGAGCAUGUUUAUCAGCCAUGCCGUGCCUGGUGGAACCGUCCUGUCUGCGCCUCACUACAUGAACAUUACUAUUAACUGUUGCCAGGAGAGCCAGAGAAGACAAAGAGCACCCACCACGCGGCACCGAUACUCUGCCAUCAGCACUCCGCCUCUUCUCUCUCCUCAUCUGCAGAAGGAUUAUUUUUCCCCCCUUUGCUGCAUCUUGAACAGACCCCCAUACUGCAUUAGAACCCCACCCACCCACACUGCUUUCUCUUUUCUGCCUUCCUGCUCCUGUUCCCCUGGGUACCAAUAAUAGCUGUGGAUGGUUGUAGUCAACACAUUGCUUGAGUCUGAAUCCUGACUCUGGUUGUGUGAUGUUGCACCAGUUCCAUAACCUCUCUGAGCCUGUUUUCUCCCCUGGGAGAUAAAGGAUUUGCUAGUUCCUUCUUCAUGAGGUUGUCAUAAGCGUGAAAUGAGCUCUGGGCGUGAAGACUCUCAUAUACAGCAAGAAUUUGUGGAACAAUGUUUUUUUAUUGUCACCAGUAUUCUCAUGGCUUUUUAUAUUUUCUUGGUAAUUGGUCCAUAGUAAAAUUGUGACAAUGAAGGAUAGCAAAGUCUAUAUAGUAUACAUAGCGUAUGUUCAAUAAACUCUAUGCAAGGGUCAUUUUUGGGGGGGUACUGGGGAUUGAAUCCAGAGACACUUUACCACUGAGCUACAUCCCCAGACCUUUUUAUUUUGGGAGAGUGUCUCACUAAGUUGCUAGGUCUGGCCUUGAAUUUGCAAUCUUUCUGCCUCAACCUCCUAAAUUGCUGGGAUUUCAGGUUUACUCCACCAUGCCCGGCUCUAUAGGUAUCAUUUCAACUGGCCCCCACACUCUGCUGAACAUAAGAAUCAGUGCUGGUUUGGAAAGCACAUCAGGAUCCUCCAGUGUUUUGGGGCUUUUGUUUUGAAAAGGCCCUUUUUACCAUUUUACUGCCCAUCGGAAGAAAUAAAGUCAAAUCAAUGGGCAGAACAUCAUUCCAACUUUCUCACCCCAGUUGAAGCCUUUUCCUGUGGAUCCAGAUAAAAAGUCUGUAGGAGACACUUCACGCUGUAGGGUCAGUGUGGAGGUUACAUAAUACCCAGUAAGUUUGCCUUUAAGGCAAAUGUUUGAAGUCUUUCUCCCUUUAGUUUGAUACAAAGAAUAUUUUCCCAGCAGACUUUUCCUAAUGUCCCAAUUUCAUGUCCUUACUUUUCCACACUCUGUGUAAGAGAGCUCUUUCUGAAAUGUACAAGUUUGUUGAAGAAGUUACAAUACCACAGAACACAUGGUGUGUUGCCCAAGUGGAUUUCACCUGGGCCGGGCCUCCUCCUGUCUAGACAGCCCAGCCCAGCUCUGGCCAUCCGUGACCUGCAGGGUGCAGGAGACAGGUCCAGAGGGCAGCUAAGCGGCCUAUCCAUUCACUGAGCUCUGAACUAAGUUCGGGUGACCCCAAACACUGUCCACUGGUUUGUACACCCACAGUACAAAGACGAGUUCCGUUCCUUUGUGCUGUCCCAGAACAUUUGCCAGCUCUCAGUCACGUUGCAGGGGAUCCUGUGGCCCUGCAAUGAAAGGCCCUAUUGUGAUGACUGGUCAACAAGGCAGAUCUAAGUCCAUUCUGGGCAUCAAAACUGGGAACCUCCCCGCUUUUUACGUGCUGAGAAGUGGGCGCUUAGUAUUGUAUUAAAGUAAAUGGGAAGGAGGCAGUUCCGUUAAAAAUACCCCAGUAAAGAAAAGGAGAUACUUAUCUGCUCAUUGUCUCCGACUAGAAGCUUUUAAAACGACCUGAGAAAUGGGCUUACUGCUUUCAUUGUUUUUUUCCUUCUUCUUUUUCCUCCUUCUCACUGACAUUUGUCCUCUUUUCUAAAACCUCCUCUCCUAGUGAUCCAGGCGACUGCUGGGAAUUCUCCCUCCACCAUGUGGACAAACAAGCAGAUCAUUCAAAGUAUUCAGAUCACACAGACAAAGACAUGGAAAUGCUUAGGAUUCAGAGUUCUGGCUGGUUUGAAAUGUGCUUUUGGGCAAAUGAUGUAGUGAGCUGAAUGUUCAUUAAAUAUACAAACCAAUUAAGAGCUGUUUAAUGCUAAGGCAAUUGAUCUUUCAGAGAUGGAUAUUUGGGUGCAGCACCAGAUCUUAACCCUGGCUGGGUACACCAGAGCACCUGCCUGGUUAGAGUUUUCUAGUCUAUAAAAUGAUAGUUAGGCUUCAGUGAACCCCAGAUUCCCUUGGGGGCUCAGUUCAAAUCCCAGCUUUGUUGUCUGCCUCUUCCUGGUGCUGCGAUUCCAUAGUAUCCUUCAAUUAUUCUAGGACUGAUUUGGUAGAAGGGAUCCAGAGCAAACGGAGGCCUCUACAUUAACAAUGCAGAAGUUGUGGUGUGAGGCUGACAUCUCUGAAGGCACAAGAGGGCAGAUGUUGAAAUGAAGAAGACAGUGAGACCCAGUGAGCAAAUGACCCUUGUUAGUGCAAAAGGACGGGGCCGAUGCAAACUUCAUGGAAUCAGCUCAGCAUAGCUUUUAUUAUUCAGGAACAGAAAGAAGCUUCUGAUGGACCCAUUUUCCUGGUGGAAAAUGAGCCACCAACCAAAGGGAGGGGGUUUAGGCUUAUUAGGUUGCAUUGAGCGGUGACUCAAUGAAUGAGCAGGUCAGUUUGGGCUUUCUUUACUGGGCCAGAUGGGGUUAGUAGGUGUGAGGUCAGUAUCUGGGAAAGAAUUUGCUUAGGAUGGCAUCAAUGCUUUGGCUUCUUCCUAGAAAUUGUCAUUUCAGACUUGAUGGCUAUCUCCACCCAGGGGCCUGUCUUGUCCCUGUGAAACACAGUGACUCCCUCAUACCUUCUCCCUGGGCCACAUGGUUUGGGGGUUUGUCUUUUUCCAUAUCCAACAAUGCUACUUCCUCUCUGGCAUACAGAAGCCCUGACUUGAGGUUCCCUGAGCUCUUUGUUUUUUCCCCCCGAAACAACUUCCAUCUGAAGUGAGAGGACUUGGUUCCUGAGUAGAGGAGACAGGACUGGAAUCCCAGGGAGACCACUCACCUGGAAUCCUCAGGACACAACACGGUAGAGACAACUGCACCCAGGAGAACUCGAGUUCUACAGUGUGCUCUUCAGCUGGGUACUGAUCAGCAUGUGUGUGUGAGGGAAGGGCACAAGGGUGCGUUAGAAUCCCCUAAAAGGAUUUGAGGGAAGUAUCCCUAGAGCUCACUCAGGACGGGGGUCGUCCCUGUUACCACCACUCAGAGUUGAAAGCCUUACAAUCCACAAGGUACUUAUGGGUAAGGUACUGGGAAGGGCAUUCUGGGUAUUGGGGCUUAAUUACCUCAAACUAGUAUGUAGGCUAUUAGACUAGAGGCAGUCCCAGCCCCUCCCCAAAAAGGCUUCAAAGUACACUGUGAGAGGGUCAGAAUAUUUCCAAGUAACUAAACUGUGUUCCAGAACAACACUUGGGAUAUUUUUUAACAUAACAUUAUACCUAGUGCUUAGCAAGGAAAAAAUUCAAUCAAAAGAAACAUGAAGAGACUGAUACCAAAAGCACAUCAUAUCCAAGUUGCUCAAAACCAGUGAUAAAGGCUUGAAAUCAGCUAAAGGAAAAAAAAUGUUAGGUUAUGAACAGAAAAGUAAAGAUAAGGAUGACAAUGGAGGUCUUGUCAGAAACAAGGCGGUGACAAGACAGAGGAACAAUCAUCUUUAAAACACUGAAGAAAAACUAUUGUCAACCCUGAAUUCUCUACUCAGCAAAAAUGUUUUUCAAAAACAAGUGCAAAAGAAAGAUGUUUUCAGAUAUUCUCACCCUGAAAAAAAAAAAAUGAUCCUGUAUUAGAAGAAAUGUACUAAAAGAAAGUCCUUCAGGCAGAAGGAAAAUGAUACCAGAUAAAAACUUGGCUCCUCAAAAAGGAAAGAAGAGCUCUGGACGAGGCACUUCAACUACUUGAAACAUGUAACAAGCUCUGGAGCGGGACUUUUCCUGUUGCUGUUGGCUAUUUGAAGCCCACAGUGACGCCAACGAAGUUCUCCACAUCUGAGCCAACAUGCCCAGGAGCCAGAGAUUCUUAAGAGAUGACUUAUGUGACUCUAUUAGCACCAACACCACCUUCUACCUUGUGAGGAAACAGGCAGAGAGAGGUUGCCUAACUUUUCCAGAGGAUGGACCUGGUAGCUCCUGCCAAAUGUUCAACCUCAGGGUGUGUAUACCCAAACGCCUUUGUCUUGAAGAAAACAGAGUAUUUUCUACAGGAAUAUCGGUUGUUCCUGAGGUCUGUUAGUGUUCAUAGUGCUCUGGCUGCUUCAGAAGCCGCAGCUUUGUCGGCCUUGGAACAUCUCAAUGGCUGUGGGGACAGGAUAGCACUAAGAAAAGCCAAGAAGCAAAAGAAGGAUCUGAAAUUCAGAUAUUGGACAACAUAAAGAAAGACUACAGGGUCCUUGGAGUUGGUCAAAGGAUGCCACACCUAGGUUUUUCCAGAAAAAAAAAAAAAAUUGUCUUUUUGCUGUAGCUGGACGGGGUGAGGGGCUUCUUAAAAGCAUUCUGAUGCCACCUCCUGGUCAGACCAAGGACUUGGGAACUGAAAUGCACAAGAAACAAGCACUUACUGAAGCACCUACAGUCUAAUCUCUGUUUCUGUCAUUAUUUCGGCAGGCCAUUAUUUGAUCUGUGCCUCACGUGUUUGGCGCUGUUUGACUUCCUGGAAACCUCAUGUGCAAGGAUGCAAGGUUGAAGCAGUAGCGUUUGUUAUCCUCUUGUCUGCAAACAAAGCCUCUUUUCUGUUACAGAAAUUAGGAGUAGGAAAAUCAAUGCCUUCCCCCACAGGUGAAUCAUCAAGAAAAUGUGCAAGUCUUCAAACGGUGAUGGUUCCACUCCAGGCUGGUGAAUUCCAUGAGCAAACAAAGCUCUGUUUGUAACCCAGUUAGAUAAGAAUGUUCUGGGGCAUUUUUUUUUUCUUGGUACAGGAAAUAAGAGUUGGGUGAUU